UUUUUAGAGACUAAUCAAAAGUAAAAUAAAUUAGAAAAAAAAAACUACUUUUGAGGAGAUUUGUAGGAGAACAAAAAAGAUAAAAAGGACAGAGUAGUGACGACUUACGUGAAGCAAGUUGCGGCGGUGGUCGGUGUUUUCUUCCCGGCUAUAUAGGAGUAUGACAUUGCAUUGCAGCAAGAAGCUGAAGCAUCAUUAAAAAGAAAAAGAAAACCCACAAAUUCACUGUAAUUUAUUUAUCUAUUUAUUUUCUCUAAAUUUUACAUCUUUGUUUUCAAAGACAAAAACAAAAACAAAAUGAGAUCUUCAAAACAAGCAGCAGCAGCAGCAGCAGCAGCGACAGCGACAGAGAACAACAGAGGCAUAAGCGGUCACCUGUUCACUCUCCAUCAACGUCUCUAUCAUGCUCUCAACCUCGGUACCAGAUAUUCUGAAGGAAAAGAGUGGAAAUGGAAGUGUACAGAUAUUGAAAUCCAACGGCAUGUCGUCCGCUCCAUUUCUUCCUUCAUUGAGUCUGCCUCGCCAGACACUUUACAUCAUCCUCUUGUUAAGGAUUCCGUGGCCGAUAUAGUUUGGGCAUUGGUAUGGAUUCUUCAGCAUAAAAGUGAGGCUGUAUUGAGUAUAGCAGCAAAUGUGGUUGUAAAGUUGAUCCGCAUUAUACCCAAUUCAAUACUGCAACCGUAUUCAUUGUAUCUGGUUCAUCCUUUAGCAUCCUUGCUAUCUUCCUGUCGAAUGGAAGUCUCAAUUGCUUGUGCCACUGCUUUGAAUAUGAUUCUCUCGAAUCUGAGUGCAACCAGGGAGAAAAGUGUUUGGGAGAUUCUGAGUGAAACGAAAACUGUUUUCCUUAUUGUUAGUGGUAUACGGGAAUUUUCUGGUGGUCCUAUGUCUACUGAAUAUUUCCAAGAGAUGGCUUCUCUUUUGAGUACAAUACUGCAAAAGUGGUCUGCUUCUCGGUUCUCUGUCUGGAAUGAUACUAAAUUGAUGGAAGUUCUAGAGGCUAUGCACGAAAAUCCUGAUGUUUCCAUUAAGGUUGCACUUUUGAAGUUAUAUUCAGGGAUAGGUAUAAUCAUAUGCACUGAGUUCUUCUUUAUGAAUUCUAUAAGGCUCAAAAUUGUUAAACAACGACUCUUGAUUUGUAUGCCAGCUCUAUGUGGUAAUGGGGCCAUGAAGCUUCUUCAAAAUGGGGAAGCCCUUCUACAAAUGAUGGUUCUCUGCAUGGGUAGAUCCCGCCCUCUUUCUGUUCAGAUGGAAGGAUUUAGACUUGCCCAACGCUUAGCGACAAAUAAACAGGGAUGUUUAAAAAUGCUGAGCUUAUGCUGCGAGCCUAUUGUUAAAGCUAUAAUUGAUGGAAUGACUGGAUGGACCUUGAGCUCGGGGAAGAUUGCAAAUGACCAGAUGUCUUUGUUAGUUGAAGCUUGUCGCUUGGCUCUUAUAAUUCGCUGGGAUGGGGAACAUCAUGAUUAUUUUUGGAAGAAAGGAAUUGACAAGGUCCUACUUGAUCUUCUUCUUGAAAAGUUUCAGAAUGGACAGUCUGUACACCUUUUGACACUUGAAGAACAGAUGUCUGAAGCACAGGAGGCUCUCAAAGCUGAUUUUCUUCUUGUUUUGAGGCCAUACAUGUGGGAUAUUCUUGGAUGGCUGGCAAUAUACUGUAGGGAAGAUUUCAACCCCAACAUUCAUAGUCAUGAACUUCUCAUUGAUAUGCUUAUUAGAUGUGCAUGCUUAACUUUUACGGAUUCAGUUCGUAAAGGAUGGCAAAUAUGCCAAAGUGAUCUGUCCGAGACGUUCAGAAGUGAAUCAGCAUCAAGGGCAGUUCUUAUGAUGAUUUAUUCUCCCUGCAAAUACAUUGCAUCAAAAGCCAGGUCUAUGCUGUCUGAAAUUCUAAAGCCAACUGGCAAGGAAUAUUUGAAACACUCGUUGCGCGUUCUCAAUUUUACAUUGACAAGGGAUAAUUUUGGAAUACCAGAUAUGCUUCAAACUGGCAUAAACUUGGUGGCUUUGACAUGCUGUGCUUGUUUGCCAUGGUACCGAAGUUACAUUGUUAAAAGUGGAGGAGUAAAGACACUACUGGCUUUUAUAAAGUGGUGCCUAAGCAAUGAUGUCCAUAUAGGAAGGCUGAGCUUUGCUCCUCAUUUGCAUAAUAUAUUCAGCCAGAGGCUUUGUUGCUGGGUGUGCAAGGAAGACUGGGAAGGCAAUGACAUACUUUUAUUGUAUGGGUUGUGGGGGCUAGCUGAGUUACUACACUAUGGAUCUAUAAGCAAAAAUCUUGACAUUUUUUCUGGCCAGGUGGAAUAUACUGAAGCUCAGUUUGUUAGAAUGCUUCAGGAAAUUUGCAGUGACAACUCUGCUCUUGGGCUGAAAUGGAAUGCUGCAUACAUUCUAAGUUACUUUGGAUUUUAUGGUUUUCCUUGUAAACUUGGGAGGCGUAUAGGGAAGGCACUUGAUGAGAAUGAAUUUGCAGAUACACGAAUCAUCCUUGCAAAAGGGGAGUCUAUGAGUGUUCAUGGUGUCGUUCUUGCCAUUCGAUGUCCAUCAUUGCUGCCUCCUGAAGAAUUAUCUCAUGAUGAGAAAGCAUCUGAUGGUUCUUCUGGAAGAUGUGCUGUAGAUAAGCAGUUUGGAAGGUUUAAGAAAGAUAUUCGCUUAUCUUCACACGUUGAUAACCAGGCACUGUCCAAGUUGUUGGAAUUUGUUUACUUAGGAUAUCUGCAUGCCAGUGAUGAACAUGUGAAGAAAUUGAAGAUUCUUGCUAAACAUUGUAGUUUGCAACCUCUAUCAACAAUGCUUGGCAGAAGACGUCCAAAGUGGGGCACUCUUUUCCCCAUCUAUGAUCUUACCCCUGCUCUUGCUCCGACUGGGCAUCACUUUUCGGACAUCAUCUUGAAGCCAAAAGAAACUGAAUCAAUCUGCUGGAAAUGUAGAACGUGCUCCCUGUCAUUGCCGCACAUGCAUGCUCACAAAGUUGUAUUGUCAUCUAGUUGUGAUUAUUUGCGGGCUUUGUUUCAAUCAGGCAUGCGAGAGAGUCGCUCCCAAACCAUAGAGGUUCCUGUCAGUUGGGAGGCAAUGAUUAAGCUAGCGAACUGGUUCUACACUGAUGAGUUGCCUAAACCUCCCUCUGGUUGUUUAUGGGAUAAUAUGGAUGAUGAGGAAAAGCUACAUCAGCUGCAACAAUAUCUGGAGCUUUGCUGGCUAGCUGAAUUCUGGUUUUUGGAAGACGUUCAGGAUAUCAGCUACAAAGUGAUUGUAUCUUGUCUGGAUUCAGCCAGACAGCUGUCUAUUAAAAUAAUCAAGAUUGCUUCAGAGUUAUCUCUUUGGAAAUUGGCUGAAGUUGCUGCAAAUUACCUUGCCCCUUUCUAUCGUCAACUAUGCCACACAGGUGAUCUUGAAGCACUGAAUGAAGAGCUAGUUGAUAUGAUUCGUGAUGCCUCUGUUCGGCUUUCUCAAGAAGGGUAGUGAGACUUUCCAAGUUGAUUUACUUUUCCCUGGAUGGUUUGAAUUUUCAAGUACAAGACAGGAGUUGAAACUUAGGAUCUCCAAAUGCAACGGAACUGAGGAAUGCAGAUGUGUUUGCCUGCCGGUGAGAUCUUGUAUAGUUAGACAUAGUUUUAAUGAAAUUAGGUUUUGAUACUUGGUCUUCUGCUAAUCAUUUUACAUUAAUUCCAGAAACCAGGGUCAUAGUUUCUAGCAUUUCUGGGCAGAGCAAUAGACGAUAGUGUCUUUUGAAUUUAGGGUUCAAGAUUGCAACCUGGGGAACAUCGAUUGAUUUUCAUUUCUUUCGUGACCAACAAUCUCUGUGCUGCGUUUUAUCCGAACAGUCGGAUAGGUUCGUAUCUUGUAUCGAAGUGCUUAAACCACUCGAGUGCUGAGGAUAACAAGUUAUGCUAUAUGAAGCAGCUAAUUCAUGUUGUCUUGAUUUA